rnacentral:rRNA from 1 species
GAAGGUGGCCUGUGAGGGUUGCUGGAGGUAUCAGAAGUGCGAAUGCUGACAUAAGUAACGAUAAAGCGGGUGAAAAGCCCGCUCGCCGGAAGACCAAGGGUUCCUGUCCAACGUUAAUCGGGGCAGGGUGAGUCGACCCCUAAGGCGAGGCCGAAAGGCGUAGUCGAUGGGAAACGGGUUAAUAUUCCCGUACUUGGUGUUACUGCGAAGGGGGGACGGAGAAGGCUAUGUUGGCCGGGCGACGGUUGUCCCGGUUUAAGCGUGUAGGUGUGUGUUCCAGGUAAAUCCGGUUCACUUUAACACUGAGGCGUGACGACGAGGCACUACGGUGCUGAAGCAACAAAUGCCCUGCUUCCAGGAAAAGCCUCUAAGCAUCAGGUAACAUCAAAUCGUACCCCAAACCGACACAGGUGGUCAGGUAGAGAAUACCAAGGCGCUUGAGAGAACUCGGGUGAAGGAACUAGGCAAAAUGGUGCCGUAACUUCGGGAGAAGGCACGCUGACAUGUAGGUGAAGUGAUUUACUCAUGGAGCUGAAGUCAGUCGAAGAUACCAGCUGGCUGCAACUGUUUAUUAAAAACACAGCACUGUGCAAACACGAAAGUGGACGUAUACGGUGUGACGCCUGCCCGGUGCCGGAAGGUUAAUUGAUGGGGUCAGCGCAAGCGAAGCUCCUGAUCGAAGCCCCGGUAAACGGCGGCCGUAACUAUAACGGUCCUAAGGUAGCGAAAUUCCUUGUCGGGUAAGUUCCGACCUGCACGAAUGGCGUAAUGAUGGCCAGGCUGUCUCCACCCGAGACUCAGUGAAAUUGAACUCGCUGUGAAGAUGCAGUGUACCCGCGGCAAGACGGAAAGACCCCGUGAACCUUUACUAUAGCUUGACACUGAACAUUGAGCCUUGAUGUGUAGGAUAGGUGGGAGGCUUUGAAGUGUGGACGCCAGUCUGCAUGGAGCCGACCUUGAAAUACCACCCUUUAAUGUUUGAUGUUCUAACGUGGACCCGUGAUCCGGGUUGCGGACAGUGUCUGGUGGGUAGUUUGACUGGGGCGGUCUCCUCCUAAAGAGUAACGGAGGAGCACGAAGGUUGGCUAAUCCUGGUCGGACAUCAGGAGGUUAGUGCAAUGGCAUAAGCCAGCUUGACUGCGAGCGUGACGGCGCGAGCAGGUGCGAAAGCAGGUCAUAGUGAUCCGGUGGUUCUGAAUGGAAGGGCCAUCGCUCAACGGAUAAAAGGUACUCCGGGGAUAACAGGCUGAUACCGCCCAAGAGUUCAUAUCGACGGCGGUGUUUGGCACCUCGAUGUCGGCUCAUCACAUCCUGGGGCUGAAGUAGGUCCCAAGGGUAUGGCUGUUCGCCAUUUAAAGUGGUACGCGAGCUGGGUUUAGAACGUCGUGAGACAGUUCGGUCCCUAUCUGCCGUGGGCGCUGGAGAACUGAGGGGGGCUGCUCCUAGUACGAGAGGACCGGAGUGGACGCAUCACUGGUGUUCGGGUUGUCAUGCCAAUGGCACUGCCCGGUAGCUAAAUGCGGAAGAGAUAAGUGCUGAAAGCAUCUAAGCACGAAACUUGCCCCGAGAUGAGUUCUCCCUGAGACUU